UGGCCCAUNUCAACGGCUAGGACCUAGAGC
rnacentral:piRNA from 1 species